rnacentral:rRNA from 1 species
UACGUAGGGGGCAAGCGUUGUCCGGAAUCAUUGGGCGUAAAGCGCGUGUAGGCGGCCAGGUAAGUCCGUUCUGAAAGCCCGGGGCUCAACCCCGGGAGGCGGAUGGAUACUGCUUGGCUCGAGUCCGGAAGAGGAGAGUGGAAUUCCUGGUGUAGCGGUGAAAUGCGCAGAUAUCAGGAAGAACACCCGUGGCGAAAGCGGCUCUCUGGGACGGUACUGACGCUGAGACGCGAAAGCGUGGGGAGCGAACAGG